GCUGAGUUAAUUUAGGAUGCUAGCCUC
rnacentral:piRNA from 1 species